UACGUAGGCAGCAAGCGUUGUUCGGAAUUACUGGGCGUAAAGAGUGUGUAGGCGGUGCUCCAAGUCUGGUGUGAAAUCUCCCGGCUUAACUGGGAGGGUGCAUUAGAAACUGGAAUGCUAGAGGAUGGGAGAGGUAAGCGGAAUUCCGAGUGUAGAGGUGAAAUUCGUAGAUAUUCGGAAGAACACCAGUGGCGAAGGCGACUUACUGGACACAUAUUGACGCUGAGGUGCGAAAGCGUGGGGAGCAAACAGG
rnacentral:rRNA from 1 species